CCUACGGGAGGCAGCAGUGAGGAAUAUUGCUCAAUGGGCGAGAGCCUGAACCAGCCAAGUCGCGUGAGGGAAGAAGGUCCUACGGAUUGUAAACCUCUUUUGUCAGGGAGCAAGGAGCGCCAUGAGUGGUGUGGCGAGAGUACCUGAAGAAAAAGCAGCGGCUAACUCCGUGCCAGCAGCCGCGGUAAUACGGAGGAUGCGAGCGUUAUCCGGAUUUAUUGGGCAUAAAGGGUGCGCAGGCGGAAGCGGUAGGUCAGCGGUAAAAGUGCGGGGCUCAACGUCGCCGUGCCGUUGAAACUGGUGUUCUAGAGUGGGCGAGAAGUAUGCGGAAUGCGUGGUGUAGCGGUGAAAUGCGUAGAGAUCACGAAGAACUCCGAUUGCGAAGGCAGCAUGCUGGCGCCCAACUGACGCUCAUGCGCGAAAGCGUGGGUAUCGAACAGGAUUAGAUACCCUAGUAGUC
rnacentral:rRNA from 1 species